UUCUGAAAGCAUUUGAAAAAGAUUUCCUGUAGGCAUCGAAGCUGGUAUCCAUAUUACACAACAUUCUCUACAAACAUUUUCUAAAAGUGCAUGAAUAAAUUUGUUAACAACUCUCUUAUUUCAGAAUCAGGAAAACAACAAUUAAACAAUUACAACAAAGACUAAACUCCGACAAUUUCAGAACAAUCUAUCCAACGUACAUAUAUGGACAGGGGAAACAACGCGACAGAAAACGUCGCUGAAGUAAUUUGGAGGUAUGCUGCCGAGUUGAUAGUCCUUGGCCGCAUAAAAGUCGGCGUCCGUUCCGGUUGCAUAGAUCCCUUUCUAUCGUGGGAACUUUUGACAGAGCAGCCCUGGAGAUGCCUGCAUAAUUUUCUUGAGCGCAAAAUAAAACAACUACUUCAGUUUGUAUUAUUUUUUCUUCGAAAAUUUUUAUUAACACACACCUUUAGACCUUAAAAACAUUGAAUUUCUUUUAACAGUUUGUAAUUACAAUUAAUGCAUAAUUAUAUAAUUUAUAAUUAAAUCAAAAAUUAGUGGUCCAGUAAGAGUAUAAAUAAUUUUGUUUUAUAUUGUGAUUGUUUCCUUGCUACAUACAAGUAUAAAAAUGUAUUUUUGUUGUUGUUAAAUAAAAACGCUACACAAUUAUCGCCUUCUGUUUACUCAUUUUAUUUUUUUAUUUUUCUUUUUUGGAAUUUUAAAUAU